rnacentral:rRNA from 1 species
AUGGAAAAGCGCCAACUAUCCCUAGCCGAGUUCAACCUGAGAAAGCUUCUGAAACAAAGGAUUACCGGUCUUGCGGCCGUCGAGCAUGCGCGUCGUCGCCAAGCUUCUCGGAUAACAUGGCUCAAGGCCGGAGAUGCAACCAAUACUUUCUUCACUGCAAAGGCCUGCUCGAGGAGGAGAAAAAAUUUCAUUCACUCUCUGCGAUCUGAAGAUCAUGUGGCGAUCGAGCAUGACGAGAAGGCUGCCGCCAUUUAUGAGCAUUUCAAGAAAAUCAUGGGAGCUGCUGAACCCAGGAAAUGCACCAUUAACUGGGAAGCUCUAAACCUGCCAACAAUUCAAGCUGAUGGACUUGAUGCUCCUUUCACUGAAGCGGAAGUUUGGAGAGCGAUCAUUGAAUCCCCGACAGAAAAGGCCCCG